AUUGAACGCUGGCGGCAUGCCUUACACAUACAAGUCGAACGGCAGCGGACCUUCGGGUGCCGGCGAGUGGCGAACGGGUGAGUAAUAUAUCGGAACGUACCUUUCGGUGGGGGAUAACGUAGCGAAAGUUACGCUAAUACCGCAUAUUCUGUGAGCAGGAAAGCAGGGGAUCGCAAGACCUUGCGCUGAUUGAGCGGCCGAUAUCAGAUUAGCUAGUUGGUGAGGUAAUGGCUCACCAAGGCUAAGACGGGUAGCUGGUCUGAGAGGAUGAUCAGUCACACUGGAACUGAGACACGGUCCAGACUCCUACGGGAGGCAGCAGUGGGGAAUAUUGCGCAAUGGGCGAAAGCCUGACGCAGCCACGCCGCGUGAGCGAUGAAGGCCUUCGGUCGUAAGACUCUGUGGGGGAGGAA
rnacentral:rRNA from 1 species